GUAUAUUUUAAUAUAUUCCUCCUCAUUAGUUGCUACUAUUACAUCAACUACUGCUACAAUUGAAACUGAAACUCCAUCAACAAAUGAAAGCAUUGAUGAUAACAUUGUACCUCUUGUGGCUGGUGCAGUCAGUACUAGUGUUGUAUUAGUGAUAUUGUUCAUAUUAACAAUAUGUUUCGGCACGAUAAUUGCUAUUAAAAGAAAAAGCAAGACAACAAAAGAGGUUGUACAUUUUGAACAAGCUGAUUCCAAUGAAUAUGAAGAGACUCAUAAUAUAGCAAUUACCACAUCACCUGUACAACUGACUAGUAACAGAGCAAUAGAUGAUGAGAAUGAUAACGAAGCAAUAGAUGAUGAGAAUGAUAACGAAGCAAUAGGUGAUGAGAAUGAUAACAGAGCAAUAGGUGAUGAGAAUCCAUAUCAAGUUACUGUGAGUGAGUUCCUUACUUGUGAACACACCAUUCCUUCACACAAUGUUGA